GUCCCGCCCUUGGCCUUCCAAAUAACUAGAAUUAAAGGCGCAUGUUCAGCUUAUAGUUCACCUUUUUCUGUAUACAAUUUUAAAGUGCUCAGUUCAGUAAGUUUUGGUACAGUUACAGUAUGUGGAACUGCAACAACUAUCUAAAUAUUGGAAUAAGCCCAUGAGUUACUGGUGCUCCCUCACCCAGGCAUUCCUCUUGUACUCGUUUUGGAUUGCUUACUUUUAAUAUUUUAGAGAAAUGGAUUCGUACAAAUGACCCUUUGAAUAUGCCAGGUUUCUUUCCUAUAUAUGUACUUUUCUCUCAUGGCUGAAUGGUAUUCCACUCUUGGGCUGUACAGCAUUGCUUACUGUCUUAGUUAGGGUUUUACUGCUGUGAACAGACACCAUGACCAAGGCAAGUCUUAUUUAAAAAAAAAAAAACACACAACAACAUUGAAUUGGGGCUGGCUUACAGGUUCAGAGGUUCAGUCCAUUAUCAUCAAGGUAGGAGCAUGGCAGUAUCCAGGCAGACAUGGUGCAGGCAGAGCUGAGAGUUCUACAUCUUCAUCCAAAAGCUGCUAGUGGAAGACUGACUUCCAGGCAACUGGGGUGAGAGUCUUAAGCCCAUGUCCACAGUGACACACCUACUCCAACAAGGCCACACCUCCAAAUGGUGCCACACCCUGGUCCAGGAAUAUACAAACCAUCACACUUACCAUUCACAAGCCAUAGCAGCGGUGUAGCAGCAGGUUCGGGCUAUAGUUAAUGCUGCUACUGUGAUUUUCAAAUUCAAGUUUGUAUGUGAGCAUACAUUUUCAGGUCUUUGGAGUUUAACUUAGAACUGCUGCAUAAUGUGGCAAACUGGAGUACUAGAAACAAUUUCACUCUAAACAAAGAUAGUGUAGAGUAAAAUGGACAAUAGAAACUAACAGAUUGUCAAAACUGAUUAAAAAAUGGAAAAUCUAAUAGACUAAAAGCAGUUGAGCAAUUAUUAAUUAAAAGUUUAACAAAUAAAAGCCCAGGCCCUAGAGGUUUUAAUAGUGUUCUGUGGGAUUUGUUGUUGAUUUUUUGUUUUAUUUAAUCAGAUUUUUUCUAAAAAUAUAAAAUUUCAGAAAAUAGGGAUUUUUUUUUUUUUUUGGACAAGGCAAGCAGGGUUCUGUUACAAAAGCUAGAUAAAUACAUUGGAAAAAAAAUACAGGCUCAUAGCCCUCAUGAAAAAUAGAUAUUUGGAACACUCAGCUAAGUCAUAGCCAGUCCAACUGAGUGUUGUUGACCACUUGCCUCGCAUGUGGAAGUCAAAACUGACAAAAUAUAUAAAAGAAUAUUCAUUUUGAUUGGGGGACUUACCUCAAGAAUAUACAGUAGAUUUAAUAUCUGAACACCAGUUAAUAUAUUAUACAAUAAAAAUAGAAAUUGAGACAAGACCUGAGCAGUUGGAUAAAAUGUAUUUGACAAAUCCAAAUCCAUUCGUGAUAAAAGGCCCUUUGACCUGAAACCGAAGGUGCUGCUUCCACAGGUCAAGAGCAGCUACUCAAGACCCACAGCAAAGAACAUGCUUAAAAGGCCAGGCCAGCCACUUCUCCUCGAUGGUUGGGAGGCAUGUGUAUGCUGGCGCACAUACAUGUGGAGACUAGGAACCAGCCCGCAGAUUUUCCUCAGGGACAACUAAUUGCUUGGUUUUUUUGAGACAAGGUCUCUUAUUGGGACCUGGUGCUCACUAAUGUGUGUACCCAGCUGGCCAGCAAAGCCAGAGCUUUGUCUCCACCUCCCCAGCACUAGAAUUAGAAGCCUACUCCGCCAUACCUGCCUUUCUUGUACUUUCUGGGGAUGAAACUUGGGGGUUCAUGUUUGUAUGGCGAAUACUUUCCUGUUUUCCCUCCAACCUGAAAUUAAAUUCUAAAAGGCAUCUUAUAUUCCAGCAUUCUUAAAAUGACACUUGUCUGUUUCUAGCUUAUUUUAUUAUUUAUUUCUGAUUCAACAGUCAUAAUUCCAACACAUAAACUGAUAGCUCAUUCUAAAUAAUUAUGAAAGGGAUGUAUUUAAAAUUUUAUAUGAAAAGGACUUGAAAAGAAUGAACUUAGAGGCUAUAUCGAGAGCCAGGUUUCAAAGCUGAUUAUAAAGAUAAAAGUAAUGAAGGCAAGAUUAAGCUCUUCAUAAAAUAGAUUACAUGAAACAAAGCUGUCAGUCCAGUGGAGGAGGGGGGUUUGUUUGUUCUCUAUUGAUUUUUGACAAAUAGCUAAGACAAUUCAAUAGGAAAGAAGAGUCCCUAACAAAUGCUUCUGGAACAGUUGGCUGUCAAAAUUCACAAGACCAUUUUAGGUUCUUGUGUCAAGCAAAAAGCUAACUAAAAUGGAUCAGAUGCCUGAAUUUAUUCAUAGAAUUUCUAGAAAAUAGUAGGAGACGGUCUGCGUGUCUUUGUACUGCAAAGGGUUCAACACCCAAAGUAUAAGCUU
rnacentral:lncRNA from 1 species